UACGUAGGGUGCAAGCGUUAAUCGGAAUUACUGGGCGUAAAGCGUGCGCAGGCGGUUUUGUAAGUCUGUCGUGAAAUCCCCGGGCUUAACCUGGGAAUGGCGAUGGAGACUGCAAGGCUAGAGUUUGGCAGAGGGGGGUAGAAUUCCACGUGUAGCAGUGAAAUGCGUAGAGAUGUGGAGGAACACCGAUGGCGAAGGCAGCCCCCUGGGUCAACACUGACGCUGAGGAGCGAAAGCCAGGGGAGCAAACGGG
rnacentral:rRNA from 1 species